rnacentral:rRNA from 2 species
GGAUGCGAUCAUACCAGCACUAAAGCAUCGGAUCCCAUCAGAACUUCGAAGUUAAGCGUGCUUGGGCGAGAGUAGUACUUGGAUGGGUGACCUCCUGGGAAGUCCUCGUGUUGCAUUCC